rnacentral:rRNA from 1 species
UCCGAACCCACGCACGUUGAAAAGUGCGGGGAUGAGGUGUGGGUAGCGGAGAAAUUCCAAUCGAACUUGGAGAUAGCUGGUUCUCUCCGAAAUAGCUUUAGGGCUAGCCUCGAGGUAAAGAGUCAUGGAGGUAGAGCACUGUUUGGACUAGGGGCCCUUCUCGGGUUACCGAAUUCAGAUAAACUCCGAAUGCCAUGUACUUAUACUCGGGAGUCAGACUGCGAGUGAUAAGAUCCGUAGUCGAAAGGGAAACAGCCCAGACCACCAGUUAAGGUCCCCAAAUAUAUGUUAAGUGGAAAAGGAUGUGGGGUUGCUUAGACAACCAGGAUGUUGGCUUAGAAGCAGCCACCAUUGAAAGAGUGCGUAAUAGCUCACUGGUCGAGUGACCCCGCGCCGAAAAUGUACCGGGGCUAAACAUAUUACCGAAACUGUGGAUGAACCUCUUUAGAGGUUCGUGGUAGGAGAGCGUUCUAAGGGCGGUGAAGUCAGACCGGAAGGACUGGUGGAGCGCUUAGAAGUGAGAAUGCCGGUAUGAGUAGCGAAAGAAGGGUGAGAAUCCCUUCCACCGAAUAUCUAAGGUUUCCUGAGGAAGGCUCGUCCGCUCAGGGUUAGUCGGGACCUAAGCCGAGGCCGAUAGGCGUAGGCGAUGGACAACAGGUAGAGAUUCCUGUACCAGUGCUAAUUGUUUAACCGAUGGGGUGACACAGAAGGAUAGGGAAUCGCACGAAUGGAAAUGUGCGUCCAAGCAGUGAGUGUGAGAAGUAGGCAAAUCCGCUUCUCGCGAAGCAUGAGCUGUGAUGGGGAAGGAAAUUAAGUACGGAAGUUCCUGAUUUCACGCUGUCAAGAAAAGCCUCUAGGAAGAGUAGUACUGCCCGUACCGCAAACCGACACAGGUAGAUGAGGAGAGAAUCCUAAGGUGAGCGAGAGAACUCUCGUUAAGGAACUCGGCAAAAUGACCCCGUAACUUCGGGAGAAGGGGUGCUCUAUUAGGGUGCAAGCCCGAGAGAGCCGCAGUGAAUAGGCCCAGGCGACUGUUUAGCAAAAACACAGGUCUCUGCAAAACCGUAAGGUGACGUAUAGGGGCUGACGCCUGCCCGGUGCUGGAAGGUUAAGAGGAGUGCUUAGCUUCGGCGAAGGUACGAAUUGAAGCCCCAGUAAACGGCGGCCGUAACUAUAACGGUCCUAAGGUAGCGAAAUUCCUUGUCGGGUAAGUUCCGACCCGCACGAAAGGCGCAACGAUCUGGGCACUGUCUCAACGAGAGACUCGGUGAAAUUAUAGUACCUGUGAAGAUGCAGGUUACCCGCGACAGGACGGAAAGACCCCGUGGAGCUUUACUGCAACCUGAUAUGGAAUGUUUGUACCGCUUGUACAGGAUAGGUAGGAGCCGAAGAGACGUGUGCGCUAGCAUACGAGGAGGCAAUGGUGGGAUACUACCCUGGCUGUAUGACCAUUCUAACCCGCCACGCUUAGCGCGUGGGGAGACAGUGUCAGGUGGGCAGUUUGACUGGGGCGGUCGCCUCCUAAAGAGUAACGGAGGCGCCCAAAGGUUCCCUCAGAAUGGAUGGAAAUCAUUCGCAGAGUGUAAAGGCACAAGGGAGCUUGACUGCGAGACUGACAAGUCGAGCAGGGACGAAAGUCGGGCUUAGUGAUCCGGUGGUUCCGCAUGGAAGGGCCAUCGCUCAACGGAUAAAAGCUACCCCGGGGAUAACAGGCUUAUCUCCCCCAAGAGUCCACAUCGACGGGGAGGUUUGGCACCUCGAUGUCGGCUCGUCGCAUCCUGGGGCUGUAGUCGGUCCCAAGGGUUGGGCUGUUCGCCCAUUAAAGCGGCACGCGAGCUGGGUUCAGAACGUCGUGAGACAGUUCGGUCCCUAUCCGUCGCGGGCGCAGGAAAUUUGAGAGGAGCUGUCCUUAGUACGAGAGGACCGGGAUGGACACACCGCUGGUGUACCAGUUGUUCCGCCAGGAGCAUCGCUGGGUAGCUAUGUGUGGCAGGGAUAAACGCUGAAAGCAUCUAAGCGUGAAGCCCCCCUCAAGAUGAGAUUUCCCAUUUCUUCGGAAAGUAAGAUCCCUGAAAGAUGAUCAGGUAGAUAGGUU